GACGAACGCUGGCGGCGUGCUUAACACAUGCAAGUCGAACGGAAAGGCCCUGCUUGCAGGGUGCUCGAGUGGCGAACGGGUGAGUAACACGUGGGUGAUCUGCCCCUUACUUUGGGAUAAGCCUGGGAAACUGGGUCUAAUACUGGAUAGGACCAUGCUGUAGGUGGUGUGGUGGAAAGAUUAGUUUCGGUAAGGGAUGAGCUCGCGGCCUAUCAGCUUGUUGGUGGGGUAAUGGCCUACCAAGGCGUCGACGGGUAGCCGGCCUGAGAGGGUGGACGGCCAGAUUGAGACUGAGAUGCGGCCCAGACUCCUACGGGAGGCAGCAGUGGGGAAUAGUGCACAAUGGGCGCAAGCCGGAUGCAGCGACGCCGCGUGGGGGAUGACGGCCUUCGGGUUGUAAACUCCUUUCAGCCAUGACGAAGCCCUUGUGGUGACGGUAGUGGUAGAAGAAGCACCGGCUAACUACGUG
rnacentral:rRNA from 1 species